UCCACUAGAUGUCAACGAUCUUUAUAAAGUUGUUUGAAGCGUCUAUGAUAAACAGAGAGCAAAUUAGAAUCCAAGGAAGUUGACAUGUCAUCACUUCAUUUUUUUGCGCCUGCGCAUAAAUCUGAGAAACGUGAGUUUGUCAUCAUUGUUUAUCUAGACAUAGGAUAGGUUGUGUGAAAAUAUUACUGAUGUUUAACGUUAAAAAUGGACCAAAAGAUUAAUGCUAAACAACAUUUGACAUGUUUGAACGGACGUAAAUAGAUUAUUUACUAGGUUUUUUUAGCUUUUCGGCGUGAUUUUACACUCCCCCCACCACGUUUUGUGGGAGCAUAAUGAACGCUAAGUACUUGGUGUUAUUUGGACAUAAAUUAUGAACUUUGUCAAAAGAAACCACAUUUGUUCCGGACCUGGGAUGCCUUCCGGACCUGGGAUGUCUGCCUUCUGAUGGAGAUAAUCAAAGGUCAUCUAAUGAUUGCGUUGAUGUGGUCAGGACCUGAGCCCUAGGACCAUGCCUCAGGGUUACCUGGCCUGAUGACUCCUUGCUGUCCCCAGUCCACCUGGUCGUGCUGCUGCUCCAGUUUCAACUGUUCUUCCUGCAGCUAUGGAACCCUGACCUGUUCACCGGACGUGCUGCCUUGUCCCAGACCUGCUGUUUUCUACUCUCUAGAGACUGCAGGAGAAGAAAGGAAGGGAGGAGAGGAGAGACCCAGAGAGACUAGUCCUCAAAAGACUUAGAUCAUCGAGGCAAGAAGCAAAAACACACACCUACACACACUCAAUCAAACUACAAAAGCGAUUAGAGUGGGUUCAGCGCAGGACACAGAAACCCACACACACACACACACUCAGUC
rnacentral:lncRNA from 1 species